rnacentral:rRNA from 1 species
UGACCAGACUCCUACGGGAGGCAGCAGUGGGGAAUAUUGCACAAUGGGCGAAAGCCUGAUGCAGCGACGCCGCGUGAGUGAAGAAGUCUUUCGGUAUGUAAAGCUCUAUCAGCAGGGAAGAAAAUGACGGUACCUGAUUAAGAAGCCCCGGCUAACUACGUGCCAGCAGCCGUGGUAAUACGUAGGGGGCAAGCGUUAUCCGGAUUUACUGGGUGUAAAGGGAGCGUAGACGGCAGCACAAGUCUGGAGUGAAAUGCCGGGGCUUAACCCCGGAACUGCUUUGGAAACUGUGCAGCUAGAGUGCAGGAGAGGUAAGUGGAAUUCCUAGUGUAGCGGUGAAAUGCGUAGAUAUUAGGAGGAACACCAGUGGCGAAGGCGGCUUACUGGACUGUAACUGACGUUGAGGCUCGAAAGCGUGGGGAGCAAACAGGAUUAGAUACCCCUGUA